ensembl:lincRNA 5430416N02Rik RIKEN cDNA 5430416N02 gene
UCCAUUCGGUCCUCCUUUUGUUAACGCUCUGGCAUCAUGUCUACGCCAGCUCCCGCGCAAUCCGGCGCCAUCGCGCUUUGGGCGAGCAUGGCCAUGGGGAGUAGAGAGGUGGAAACCGAGCUGACGCCUGCCUGACCCUGGCGAUGGUGGCGCGCGCCGGGAAGGACUGAUUGGAGAAUGGCGCCAAAUGGGUCACGGAUGGCGAGGGGGCACAGGAGCUCUCGAUGUGACCUGGCGCUGUGGAUGUGAUGCACAGCAGCUUGAGUGGGACUGCUCCGCUGUCCUCAUGAGAGAACGCUUUUUCUGAAGAUGGGAGGUGGCUAAUGAAAGAAGGAAUUGUGUUCUCGGUGAUGCCUGGAAGAGAUGCGUGACGUUGGAAGAUGAUUACGAAAUACAGGAAAGGUAGAGUCAUUUGUUUUGUAUAUAUUAAAUAUUCUGAGUGAUACAGUCUGGGAAAGAUUAUGAAGUAAAGACUGGAAUCCUAAAGGCUUUGGUGAAAUCUUAAUUACCUAUUUUCGGGGUGGCAGAGAACUUUUAUUUAGACAAUCAUUGUGUCCUUGUUGGUGUGGAGGUCAGAGGACGACUUGGAAGUUUCUCCAACCCAGGCCUCCUGUCUUAACGACAGGCCUUUGUGUGUGUGGGUGUUUUGUCUGCACCGUGUGCAUACAUGGUGCCUGAGAAGGCUGUAAGGGGGCAUCAGAUCCCCUGCCACUGCAGUUGGAGAGUGAAGCUGCCAUGUGUGUGCUAUGAAUCGGACCCCAGUCCUCUUAACUCUUAAGCAGUCUGUCUUAGUCAGGGUUUCUAUUCCUGGACAAACAUCAUGACCAAGAAGCAAGUUGGGAAGGAAAGGGUUUAUUCGGCUUACACUUUUCCACAUUGCUGUUCAUCACCAAAGGAAGUCAGGACUGGAACUCAAGCAGGUCAGAAAGCAGGAGCUGAUGCAGAGNNNNNNNNNNNNNNNNNNNNGAUAUUACUCACUGGCUUGCUCAGCCUGCUCUCUUAUAGAACCAAGACUACCAGCCCAGAGAUGGUCCCACCCACAAGGGGCCUCUCCCCCUUGAUCACUGAUUGAGAAAAUGCUUUACAGCUGGAUCUCAUGGAGGCAUUUCCUCAACUGAAGCUCCUUCACCAAUAGCCUCUCAUAGGCUCUCUUUAUGGUGCCAAGCCUCAACCCCUUUGCAUGACCCCUUCAGUCCUGGGCCAUCAAUUGCAACUGAGGCUGCACCUUCACCAAUGNNNNNNNNNNNNNNCUUACAUAUUACCAAGUCCAGCCACAGCACAAGGUACAACCUUGGCUAUCUCUGGAACACAGCCUCUGUGCUCUCAGAAAACCCUUCCCAGAAGAUUUCACCUCAGUGAUGCUGGUCUCUUCUUAAUCACCGCUAAUUUCUUAGCUCCAGUUAACCAGCAUCAAUAGUUCCAGUAAUGCAAAGGUUUAACUUUAGUAGUUCUUGUAUCUUGUUAAUCACAGCUGAUUCUUCAGAACCACAGAACCUUCACAAUCCAAAAUAGCAGUGGCCCUGAAAAAAGUCUUUAAUUUUACCUCUGAAGUUUCACAAGCCAGGCCUCCAUUUUUCUGCAAUGUUCUCAACAUUAUCUUCCAAGCUCCUACACAACAUCUCACAGAGCUCUUAACAGCGAAUGGAUCUUCUGGCCCAAAGUUCCAAAGUCCUUCCACAGUCCUCCCCAAAACAUGGUCAGGUUGUCAUAGGAAUACCCCACUUCCGGUACCAAUUUCUGUCUUAGGGUUUCUAUUCCUGCACAAACAUGACCAAGAAGUAAGUUGGGAAGGGAAGGGUUUAUUCAGCUUACACUUCCGCAUUGCUGUUCAUCACCAAGGAAGUCAGGACUGGAACUCAAGCAGGUCAGAAAGCAGGAGCUNNNNNNCCUUGAUCACUGAUUGAGAAAAUGCCUUACAGCUGGAUCUCAUGGGGGCAUUUCCUCAACUGAAGCUCCUUUCUCUGUGAUAACUCCAGCUGUGUCAAGUUGACACAAAGCUAGCCAGUACACAGUCUCUACAGCAAAUCCCUCUGAGUUUCAGAGAUGCCAGGCAUUUUGCUGUAGUUUGAGCUUUUAUUUUCCACAGUUGUUUCUCACAGUGGCCCUGUGGGCAGAACAGUCAACUCUACUGUAGGGUUAGCGCUGUGCCUCUUGAGCAUCUGACUAUUAUCAGAUUCUUUGCUAGUUCUCUCAGCACCGUUAAUGAUGUGCCCUACUGUAACUCAUUCACAAGGUUCCUGUUUUAAAGAUUCCAUCCUUUGCCUCAUAGCUAGUAUCUUGGAGGUUGACUAUCAGCUGGCUUCUUUAAAGUGUCCAUUUCACAUUUAUGAUUUGGAUUCAGUAUUUGAAUCCAGGACUGAGUAUAAGAGCAUGCAUGUCCAAGUAAGUGGUUCCUUCUUAAAAACUGUUUCUGUGUAUGGGUGUUAAUGCCGAUGUGUGUCUGCACCCAAUUCAUGCCCAGAAGAGGGACUUAGGUCCUCUGGAACUGAGUCAGCAGGGCUGUGAGCCAUGUGGCUGCUCGGGGCAGCUAGUUCUCAGAACUAUUGAGCUAGCUCUCCAGCCUAGUGGGGUGUUCUCCCAACCCCAACUUUGGCUUUUCAAGGCAGUCUGCAUAUUCCUGGCUGUCCUGGACCUCACUAUGUAGACCAGGCAGGCCUCCAAUUCACACAUCUUUCUUGAGGUACUCGAUUUUUUUCUUGCCUAUGUUUGCAUAUAGUUUAUGUAUGUGGAAAGUUCCUGGGGCAUUUAAAGUGUUUGUAGUCAGGAUGUGUUGGUUGUUUUCCUGGAACAUUUCUACUUAAUUAUGGAGGUAAUUGAAACAGCUGGUGGAACUAUAAUAAAAUUAGGUAUCCCCAUGCCUAGUACUUUUUGGAGUGGGACUGUGGUCAAAUACUUAACAUUACUGAAGUAUGUUUACAUCUCCUCCCAAAGCUUGGUUGCAGAGUGUGAUAAGCAUAGAUUUACACAGUACUUGUCCCCUUGGUGGUGCUUCUUUGCCCCUUUGUGGGCAUUGGCUUCUCUUCAUGAGCAGGAUUGACUAUCAGGAAGUCAGAAUGCUGAUACUCUGCGGGACGUGGGUGUGUGGGAAAGAGGGGAGUGGGAGAGAAUCUGUCCUGCCAGAGUUCCGGUGCUCUGGGCAGUCAGACGUGGGAGGAUUGCUGGUCACUCUCCAUGUGGCUCUGGGUUGGCAUCUGGCUUUGUGAAGCCGCUGACCCCACACGGCAGGGAGUGGACAAGAACCUGGUACCAGGUUCUCAGUCUCCGAGAGAGAGAGACAGAGACAGACACUGACCAUGGCC